UGUCUCACCCUCUCCGUUUUUCCCUUUCUCUGCCUCCCUCUCUCCUCUGCCCUCCCCCCCCCCCCCCAACGCCAUUAACAACUUUUAACAAUCACAGCGACUAGACGUGUUUAGACUGUUGAAUUUUUCUUCACCGCCGCCCGACCGGCAAACAGACUCAGUAAACAGAAUUGCUGCUGAGAAGCGGUCACCUAACAUGUGGCAAUAUGGCAAAAUUUUAGCCAAUAGAAUGUGAAAAGGAACAAAGCCAAGGUUCUUAGGAAGUAGGUGAACCUUCACCGUGCUCUUUCCCUCCCAUUGACCUGAUGCAGAAGAUGAUGAGACCCUAUGAAAUGGUGGAGCUACAAAACAGAAGGAUCCUGUGGCCCUGAAACACCAUGUGAAUAAAAGCUGCCCACAGACUAGAAACUCCAACCUUGAUAAGGCGUCCCUGUGCUUUAAUAAAAUCACCAUUUUUGCACCAAAGAAGUCUCAAGAAUUCUUUCUUGGCCGUCAGCUCCGGACCCCAUGAACACAUCCCCCGUCACCAGAACUUCAUAUAUAACUGGGUUUUGAACACCUUGCUUAUUUAAAAGGCCAUGAGGAUGUCUGAGUCACUUCUUCAAAGGCAGCCAGGUUAAAAGAAAGGCUUUUCCUGUUGCAGCAAGAAGAAAAAACACAGCAUGCAUAAAACUUCAGAAGGUGUCUGUCUACUUCACGUCAGCUUACAAAUAACAGAGAAAGGGAGUGUCUGUUUCCAGAGUGAUGUAUUGAAUCACUUUGGACAACAGGGGGAGACGAAGAUAUCACCAAAGCUCUUCUAGAAGAGAGGCUCACAAACCCUUCUGAUGGACCUUUCGGACGUUGAAGCGUCCUAUUACCAAGUGCUUGUCCUGCCAGCUAGUGUUGCCCCAAGGGCGGGCCUGGCCACCUCUCCUGCUGCAGUUGCUUCGGUCAUUCAACUCCACCUGCAUGGUGCCCUCAAUUCCUUCUCCUCACACCUGCUGCCUCCACAGAAGCACCAGGACCGUGCUGCCCUUCAGCACCGUGCUCAGAACCCUCACUCUGACCUCUCUGCUUUGUGCUCUGAAGCCCUUGACUGUUUCAAGCAGCAUCAAUACCAAUUUCCCUUUGCCAUCAGGCUGCAGUUUUCUCAUCGGCUGGCUUGAUUCCACGAAAUAUAGCCAAUACAAGGUGGGCGUGUCUAACAGACAUAAACCAGGGGAUCGCAGUGCAAAAAAGGAGACUUAAAAAUGAAUUCUCAGGAAACAAGACAACGGGUCUGCCCCUUUGCAGGAAACUGCCCUCUCCCGAGCCUUGCUCUGCUGCUCUGCUCCUUGGGCGUGCUCAUUUUCUGAGGAUGUCCUGCCUUGCCUGUCCUUGUCCCUUCUAAAAGAAGGGUCUCUAUUUCCACCCCCAACUUCAGCCUUAGCCAAGAGGAAAUGGAAAAAAAUUGCAUCAUAAUUUCACUGCAAUCACCCCCCCUACUCAUGGCCUUUCUGCUGGACACAUUGCAGCUGUUCUGAAGAGCUGUUUAUUCAACAUUAUGUAAUUGUUUAGAACUUUCCCCAUUAUUUAAUCACUUCAUGGUUAGACACUUGAGUCAAAUUUUCAUGUCUGAAAAGGCUCACCAAAGCAGUCUGCCUCAGUAUGAAGGAAGAAGCUGCACAUUAUUUAAAUCCAUACAGUGACAGAUAAGUUCCCUGCUAUGACAAAAACUGCAUUAUGCUUCAGACAGCCUCCUUUGAGGAAAGGAUGGCGAAUGGAGUAAGGUGUAAGCCUACAGGCCUGAGGCAGGACCAAAGACCAAGGAAGGGAAGAGCCAGCUCUAGGAAUAUUUCAUGAUUAUGUUUGUUUUAUUAUAAAAUUAUGGGUUCUUAAAAAUUAAAUAUAUACAUAUACAAACAUACAUAUGUGCAUAUAUAAUUGAAUAUAUAUACGUACAUACAUACAUAUAUAUAUGGAAUAAGAAGGAAUUAUUUUGUUUUCCUGACUUAUAUUGAGGUAUAGUUCCAAAGCACAUUUUAUUUAGUUGAAACUAUGUCUUCUAAAAUUCAUGACAAUGCAGGGCUCCUGGCUCAGUCGGUUAAACAUCUGACUUUGGUUUAGGUCAUGAUCUCACAGUUCAUUGGUUUGAGCCCCGUGUCAGGCUCUGUGCUGACAGCUCAGAGCCUGGAGCCUGCUUGGAUUCUGUGUCUCCCUCUGUCUCUGCCUCUUCCCUGCUCACUGAGUCACUUCUUCAAAGGCAGCUCACUCUCAUGCUCUCUUUGUCUCUCUCUCUAAAAUGAGUAAACAUUAAAACAAUUAAAGAAAAAUAAAAUGCAUUAUGAUGCAUAAAGUUACAUUUGUUUUUAGCCACUGCCUGUUACUACAUUUAAUGGAUGUUGUCUUUCCGUGGUAAUUUAGAUUGUUUCCAGUAUAUAAGGCAGUAUGAUUUUUAUGCCCAUGCGUAGCAGUCUUUUGAAGGUGGUGUACAUCCAGAAAUGAAAAUGCUGGCUAUGGAGUAUGAAGAUCCUCAUUUUUGCUAAGUAUUAUUGCAGGAUUUACUAAGUACUAGUAAAUAUUAAGAA